GGGUCGUAAGAUCAUCGAUGUCUAUCGCCUUCGUGGCUACUCCAGGUUCUUCUCCUUCGCUGAUUACUGCUGGUUUUUCGGUUUUGCUAGCGGCUUUUGGAUCCUCUUGUAGCAGCGGACUCUCUUCCUCGCUGGUGGGAGUCGUUUCCUCGACUUGCUCUUUGUCUUCCUUCUGAGCGUCUGCUAGCUCGUCUUCGACAGUGAUGGGAGCUGCGUCAUCUGGAGCAGUGAUAGCUUUGUCUUUGGCUGGUGUGAAAUCUUCUGGUACUCUUUCAGCUUCUUUCUCUUUCUCUUCCUCUUGAGUUCCUUCGUCUUUGGCAGUGAUGGGAGCUGCUUCGUCUGGAACAAUGAGAUCUUUGUCUUCGCCUGGUGUGGAAACUUCUGGUACUGCUUUCUCUUUGUCUUCCUCCUGAGUUUCUGCGAGCUGAGUUCCAUCGUCUUCGGCAGUAAUGAGAGCUGCUUCGUCUAGAGCAAUGUCGCCUUUGUCUUCGGCUGGUGUUGUUGCUUCUUCCUUGUCGUUCUCGUGGACGAUGCUUGUUGUUUCGAGCUCCUUAGCCUUCUGAUCCUCGCGAUUCUCUGCUGGAUGAGUUCCUUCACCAGCAGCUACCGCCGCUUCUUUCUCUUCGUCCGCAGAUACUAUUGUUUCUUCAACUGUUGCUUCUUCAUCUUUGCCCGCUUCUUGGUCCGGAAAGGUGACAUCUGCGUCGUGAAAUUCUUCCUUGUCCGGACUUAUACCUUCUGCUACUUGAGUUUCGUCGUGCACCUCCUCCUUGUCCGGAAUUGUAUCUCCUGCUACUUGAGUUUCGUUGUGCACCUCUUCCAUGUCCGGAAUAAGAGUUUCCUUGUGCACCUCGUCCUUGUCCAGAAUUAUAUCUUCGGCUACUUGAGUUUCGUCGUGCACCUCUUCCUUGUCCGGAAUUAUAUCUUCGGCUACUUGAGCUUCAUCGUGGAUCUCUUCUCUGUCUGGAAUUAUGUCUUCUGCUGUCUGAGUGCUCGUGGAAAGAGCAUCCGUUUGGAGAACUGUUGUUUCUUUCUCUUUCUCUCCGCUUGGAUCUUGAUCUUCUGCUACUUGAAAUCUUUCCUCGCGUUUGUCAGUUGCUUCCAUCUCCGAGUUUUCUGCGAUCUUAGCCUGAGUUUCUUCACUGCUCACUGUUUCUUGCACCUUUUCUUCGUCGUCGCCAGCAGCUGGAACAUUCCUGUCCACGGCUUCGUCUUUCAAAGGUUCGUGUUCAAUCAGAUUUGUUGACUCCUCGGUGUCUCUAAUAUCUUGCUCGCCUUCUUCAGUCCGACCUUCCACUGGAUUUUGGAUUGCUUCGUCACCACCUUCGACUGCCUUGUCCUCCCUGGCUUCGAUAGCUCCCUCGACAUCUUGGACUGUCGACG
rnacentral:lncRNA from 1 species